GUGAUGUCAUAAGGCUGCGCCGCGCUCCCGCAUCUGUUGUGAUUCGGCUGAAGAAAGAGAAAAGCUCCUGGUGAAGCGACUGAGAGCCACGUGACACACUAUUAUAAAUAUGGAGUUUAUUAAAGAGGAGAGUGAAGACAUGAAGAUCGAAGAAGCAUUCAGUGUGAAACAAGAAGAAACUGAGGAACAAACAGACCUGAUGGCACUGAAAGAGGAGAGUGAAGUACUGAAUGAAAUGGAAGAGAAAGAUCAAUAUAAAAAUCAUCAUGAUUUCAUUAUUGAAGAAAAACCUUGUAGUUGCUCACAUUCUGAAAACACUUCCUCACAAAAAAUGGCUCAAAAAACAGGGACUAGAAGUGAUUUUGUCUACAAAAAGUGUGGAAAUGGAUUCAAUCAAAACAGAAGCUUUCACACGCACAUGAAAAUUCACACUGAGAAGCCUUACACGUGCCCUCAGUGUGGAAAGAGUUUUUAUCAUAGAGGACACUUUGAAGACCACAUGGUAGUUCACACUGGAGAGAAGCCUUUCACCUGCCAACAGUGUGGAAAACGUUUUACCCGAAAAGGAAGUCUUAAUUACCACAUGAAACUUCACACUGGAGAGAGCCCCUUCACUUGCCAACAGUGUGGAAAUAGUUUCACCCGAAAAGGAAUUCUUAAUUACCACAUGAGAAUCCACACCGGAGAGAAGCCUUACACCUGCCAACAGUGUGGAAAAAGUUUCACGCAAAAAGGAACUCUUAAUUACCACAUGAUAAUUCACACUGCAGAGAAGCCUUUCACCUGCCAACAGUGUGGAAAAAGUUUCACCCGAAAAGAAAGUCUUAAUUAUCACAUGAAAAUUCACACUGCAGAGAAGCCUUCCACCUGCCAACAGUGUGGAAAAAGUUUCAACCGAAAAGAAAGUCUUAAUUACCACAUGAGAAUUCACACUGGAGAGAGCCUUUUUACCUGUCAACAGUGUGGAAAGAGUUUCAUUAGAGAAGGAAACUUUAAAGUCCACAUGAGAAUUCACACUGGAGAGAAGCCUUUCACCUGCCAACAGUGUGGAAAAUGUUUCAACCAAAAAGGAAGCCUUAACAGGCACAUGGAAAUUCACACUGGAGAGAAGCCAUUUAUAUAUGGUCAAGGUGGAAAGAGUUUCAAAUAUAAAAUAAAAACUUGAAUACCACAUGAGGAUUCAUGUAUGAAUGUCUGGAUGACAUUACAAUCAAUUAAUAAGUUUGUCCUGUAAACACACAUAAUUGAUUAUUAAGUAAUUCUAAGAAGAGUAUAUUUUUCAUGGCCACAGAAAAAAAAAUCUUUCUUAGCAUUUACAGCGCUUAGAGCGUGUAACAAGAUCGAGAUCAUUUAAGUGACAGUUAUUUGCAGGCAGGGAGUCAGAAACAAAUAUGUAUUGUGCACAAAUUUUAUUAACUAAAUCACAAACACAACUAAUCUAUCAAACACAGACACACAAUCACACAUACAUAGGUAAAAUGGAAGAAAGUGACAAAAUGAAGCCGAAAAUGGGAACAGGGAAUGAAGCUAUGGAAAAAGAGUCAUUAAACCAGGAAAAGAACCAUCAGUUUAUCAUUUCAAAACACCUCAUUGAAUGUACGGUACUUGCAUGGCCGUUGUGGUGGAAGCUGUUUGUGAAGGCUCAUGAUGGUUCCAUGAGUUUCAUUCGAUUUCUUCUGUGUCGAAUGAAGAAGUUGUGAUGAACUUGCAUGCUAAGUUCAAAUCUGUUCUGGUUGAGAGAGAAAGAGUUCUCUCUCUCCAUGAGUAAGCACAUGGCUGGUUGUAGAUCGAGGCCUGUCGUUGCGGCCGCACACAGAACGGCAAACAGAAGAUGCAGAGGAGGAAGAGCUGAUGGUUGCCUGUUCAGUAAUUGUAAAGUUGCCAUUUUCUUCUGAGUUGGAAUGAAGGAAUUACAGUCUGACUCUGUUGAGAGAGUCCUCUCUCCCGAGUGAAGACAUAGCAGGUUUGGUCCAGGCCUGCCAGUUGCCCAUGGGCCCCAUUUGUAUGUGUUGAACUCCAUCAUACCUCCGGUCUAAAAUGAACACUACACACCACCGUGUUUUUCAAAGCAGAAGUGAAGUCCUGUCUCUUCACCUGCACAAAACGCACCCAGGCAUGGAAGAUAGCACCUUCCUUUUUCAUGUUACCUCUGGACUUGAUGUCCUGACAGGCUGGAGUUCAUGCAGUCUCCACAAACAUAAUAAUUUACCAUGAUGAUAAAUUGAAAUACAAAAACUACCAAAAACACACUGACCCAUGACCACUCCUACUGAAUACCAACCUACUCUGCACUGAGUCAACGCAGAGCCUGGCAAACAAUUCCCUCUUGUGACAUAAAAUGAUGCGAUGUUGAGAAAAACACAAACAGUCAAAGAAAAUUUUAACUUAAAAAACAUUAACUUUUCAUAUGGUAUUUUCGUACAAGGCUAUAUAUUUAGUUCUGAAUUUUUUUUAACUUGCAAUAUGCUCUAACAGCUGAAAAGCAGCAUGACCCUCUCAUUAGUUGGUGUCAGGAAGCCUGUUGAUCAGAGCGUUGGACUGUUCUUUACUAAGUUUUCAAAGUUACAUACUUUGAUGUCAUAAGUAAAUAGUAUGCAGUGUUAUGGAUUUGCAGUAUGUUUGUAAAAAGAAUGGUUUACAUUAUCUUACCAUCACCAGAAUAUGAUUUAGUGUACAUAAUUCACUUGACAACUGGAAAUAAAUUGAUUACAAACUCGUA